rnacentral:rRNA from 1 species
UACGUAGGGGGCAAGCGUUGUCCGGAUUUAUUGGGCGUAAAGAGCGUGUAGGCGGCUUUACAGGUCCGUUGUGAAAACUCGAGGCUCAACCUCGAGACGCCGGUGGAAACCGUAAAGCUAGAGUCCGGAAGAGGAGAGUGGAAUUCCUGGUGUAGCGGUGAAAUGCGCAGAUAUCAGGAGGAACACCCGUGGCGAAAGCGGCUCUCUGGGACGGUACUGACGCUGAGACGCGAAAAGCGUGGGGAGCAAACAGG